rnacentral:lncRNA from 1 species
AAAACGAUGGGAUAGAAAAGCAGGGCCAUAUUUUUCAUAUUGAAAUUUAUAACCAAACUUUUAUACAAACCAUAAAUCACUUCAUAACUAUUCACAUCAAAACGGAGAUCUCAAAAGAAGACAGAAACUUAGAUGAACUAGGCCGUACUCAAGGCCCCUCUCAGAAUUGCCUUCUUCCUCCAAAAAUCUUUUUCCUUAAGAUUCGCCUCCGAGUCUUCCUUCUCGGAUUCCUCCUUCUCAGCUCUUCAGCGGGGUCCUGAAAUGGUUUUCCCCAAACUGGGAUGAGACUACGUCUCAGCGAGUUCUACCCCACUAAGCCCGAUUAGAUAAACUAUUAUACUACAGGCUGCCUAAACACGCACAGGGCAGAUGACUUACCUUGGCCUCUGAUCCCACCUGCAAGUCAGUACAAUUCAUAAUAGGCACCCAAGCAAUCAUAUCACCGAUCGAAGCAUCGAUCAAAUCGACCUAGUCGAUUAUAUUCCAACAAGACCACUCACGGUCAAUUCCAUUCAGUCAAUCAAUUCACAACAUCAAAUCAAAGCAUCGACCUAGUCGAUUACAUGCCAAACAAAUCAAUCCCCACUGUGGGAUAUUUAAAAGCUAGGCCACGUGCAUUCUCCAGGACGACCUUCCAAGUCUCCGAGUUCACGUACCUCGAACCUUGGGCCCACGUGCAUUCUCUCAGGCGACCUUUUCGCCAAAGUGAUGCAUCAAGUCACCGAGACCACGUGCCCUUUUAGAUGCCCGGGCCCACGUGCAUUCUCUUAGGUGCAUCUCACCAAAGCGAUGCAUCAAUUCGCCGAGACCACGUGCCCUUUUUGAUGCCAUUCCGGAAUGCUGGACCCACGUGCAUUCUCUAAGGUGCAUCUCACCAAAGCGAUGCAUCAAUUCGCCGAGACCACGUGUCCUUUUAGAUGCCAAAUCCUGUCACCGAGCCACGUGCAUUCUCCAGGACGACAUACCGAGUCUCCGAGCCACGUGCAUUCUCUCAGGCGACCUUUUCGCCAAGGUGACAUAUUCAACCACUGAACUCACGUGCAUUUUCCAGGUGACAUUCCAAUUCACCGAGCCACGUGUCCUCUUUGCAGUGGUUACCAGUUCACUUUCAAUAUCGACAACCAAUGCCCAACGAUUUCUCAAUCAAAUAAAUAAAUCAACUCAACAAAACAUUAUAAAUGCUGAAUAAACAUACUUUGCCAUUCACCAAUCAAUACUCAAUCAAAUAAUUAAAUUAACUCAACAAAGCAUUAUAAAUGCUGAAUAAACAUACUUGGCCAUUCACCAAUCGAUAAUUCAAUCUCAAUCGAUUCCAAUCAAUUUAGGGUAAAUCCCUAAAAUAUCACAAUUUACUCAAUUCCAUACAACGUAGAGCUCAAAUAAAUAAACGGACUGCGCCACGACGAUCAGCACGAGAUUUCGGUCGUCGGCCAUCAAAAUCUUAAUUUCCGAAAAUAAUUAAUUAAUAAAUAUUAAAAAUUCAAUUUAGUACAAAAUAAAGCCCGAUUAAAUAAACGGACUUCACCACGGUCAUCAGCACAAUAUUCCGGUUCCAGGCCAUCUCAGUUGAAUUUUCGGAAAAUAAAUAAUUAUUUAAUUUAAUUCCGAAAAUUAAUAUUUAAAUACUAAAAAAUCCACUUAGGCCCGAAAAAGCCUAAUUGGAGCCCACUAAGGGUCGGGAAAAAUCCCGAGGCACUUCCAAUAAUUAGUAGACCACGUCUACUUGUUAAUUGCACAAUCAAAUUAUCUAAAUCACAUCACAAUUGACUAAUAAUUGCUAAUUUAUUUAAAUCUAACAACCUAAACAUAAUUAAUUAAAUCUAAACCAUCCUUAAGCAUAAUAGCCAACUAAUCCAAGAUUAGUGAGAUUACUCACCAAAUCGCGCACAAAUCGGAUCAAUCCGACGGCGGCGACGCGAGGAACGAAACUUCCCAAAGCGAUUCACGGAUCCGGGGCCCGGAAACGGCCCAAAAGCGGGCCUAAAGCCGCUGGAAACCCAUUUCGUGGGUUUGCUGGAUCCGCUGCAAAACAGAGAGAAAGAGAGAGGGUUGGGGGCGGCAAGAGGUCGGGAGAGCGGGCGAAGCUCCGGUGAGGCCG